UACGGAGGAUGCGAGCGUUAUCCGGAUUUAUUGGGUUUAAAGGGUGCGUAGGUGGUUUGAUAAGUUGGUAGCGUAAUUCCGAGGCUCAACCUCGGCGCUACUACCAAAACUGUCGGACUUGAGUGCAGGAGGGGCAAAUGGAAUUCCUAGUGUAGCGGUGGAAUGCGUAGAUAUUAGGAGGAACACCAGUGGCGAAGGCGGCUUACUGGACUGUAACUGACGUUGAGGCUCGAAAGCGUGGGGAGCAAACAGG
rnacentral:rRNA from 1 species